GAAUUUUUUGCUGAGCUACUGACCGAUGAAGGAUGGUUGAAUUCCGAUCAUAUUGACACUAUUUUGUAUUUCAUACGAAAAAGGCGGUUUGAUAAUGAGAAGAUGUUCACCAACACCUGUGCCAUAUUAGACGUGUUAUUUUGGUCAUCCAUCAAAGGGCGUUAUCCCAUAUGGAGGGCAUCUCGUAGCACAUAUUCAUGUGAUGCGACCCUUUGUAACUAUGUGCGUGGGAGGUCACCCAAACCUAGCGUGUCGUGGCGGAUAUGUG